rnacentral:lncRNA from 1 species
ACCCAAGCCCAAUCCUAAUCAAAUAAUCUAUUAGACUUAGACGAUUACCCAACAGUCCAACACUCAGAGGCAGACUCAGUUAAUACACUAGGGCUGGGGCCUGGGAGAUAUCAUUGAGAAUUCGAGUUCGAGAUAGGGUAUUAGGGUUUGCUUACUGCUUCAGCCUUCGGUGCUUAGGAGAUAUCAUCGAGAACUCACUCCUCACAAAUUUAUGAUCCUCACCUUCUGAAUCGGGAGAAUCAUGUUUAUUGACAAAGACCAUAUUAAUUUGCUAUGAAUGUGGUAAAUCUGCGAUGUUCCACUUAUUACGUUUAACUUGGGAAAAAGUAGUUGUUUUACUUAAACUAUGGAAGGAGGUAACUUAAUUUCUUGUUGGAGUCUGAUGUAUUUUUAUUUGGACGCGGUAAUUUAUUUUCUUGAACUUUUGUUUUGUGGCAGGAGUAGGACCUCUAAAUUCUAAUAUCAUUAUUGUGGCAAAACAUCUGCGUCAUUAUCAAUCAUGAAUUACCUGGAAUACACCCCUCUUGAUCGGUAAGCUUUGACAUGUAAUGACAUUCAAAUACCUGGAAUACACCCCUCUUCACUGAGGCUCGGUGCAAUCACGCACAACACUUCAUAUGUUUACUAUUUUGCAACACCCUAUUAUGGAACUUUUUUUUAGCAUUAAGGGCUGAUUGGUGAGAAAAUAAUACAAUUUUGUUAACUUCAUUAAAAGAAAAAGGAAUCCAUGUAUUUAAGUUUAAAAUAGAAGGCCUCUUUUAAUAUUGGCUGAUGAGGUAAUUGCUUUUAUGAACAUGCUCUGGAUUGAGUACAUCUAGGAUAAAAAGGAUAUGGGCUCCUAUUCAAUAACCUCUGCAGAUCCUGAAAAAAAUCACAGGGAACUUACAGAGUUCAAUCUGUAUAUACCAUUUUUUGUUUUAUUUAUCAAGGCCAAUCGACAAUGGAUGUACUGGCGCUCUGCUUUGGAUAGUAACAAGCUUUGACUGUGAACUCCCUUUCCCAUUCANCUCUACUUUAGUUUGUCUCCUCUGGGGUUUUGUGCUUGUUCCAGUUUAAGUAGCAACUCUAUUGCGGUGUUUAGCUUCCAAUCCCGCUAAUACUUUCUGAACAUAAUACCCCAUGGGUUCCCAAUUUUGCAGUAAUCUAUGCAUGCUUUAGGGUGCAUCCCAAGUUGGAAUUGUUCUUGGAAUUCUUCCUUUAAGGUAUAUUUGUCUUCUUUAAGGAAUUAUUUCAAUCCAUUUGUUGUGCCAGAGGCUAAUAUGUUCUUCACCUCCUUCAUCAAAGUAGAUGUGGGAGCUGAAUUAUUCCCAAUAUAUGUGCUUCCAGGGUGUGAACCCACGUAGGCUGUUGUCACCUUUGUGCACCAGUGAUUCUGCUCUCCAAAUUUAGCAAGUUCAAACCCUUUUCCUGAGUCCCAUUAUCUUUGUCAAGAGGGUUUAGGUCCAGAUGUGUCACUUGCAUGAUUUGAUUAUAAAUGCUUUUUUUCAAUAAUAGUGGCAUCCGGUCCAGCUUACGCGCUCCUUCAUUAUUCCACCAGGUACCUGCCAUCUCUCCCAAUAAUAGGUACCGGGUAACUCUGCCCACCAAAUGGGAAAAAAUCACCUUGUGCUUUUGACUAUAAAUGCUUCUAAUCCUGGUCUCUACUCUUCUGUCCUACUUGAUUGGUCAUCCAACCUUUGAUUUAGAGAAUAGAAGAGCUUUAACACACGUAGAAGUAUGUUGUGCUUAUCUUGAUGUUCGCAUUCUUAUAUUUUCUUUCUCAGUCAGACAGAUAAAGAAAGUUACACCUUCCUCCCAAUAUGUAGACAUAAUAGUAGGAAGCUAGAAAAAUUAAAUCUCACUAUUUUCAAUCAUGAAAAAACUUUUUUGUGCUCAUUAUUGUAUAUUUAUACUUUUAUAUUCUUCACCCUCCCUCAUGUUGUGAAGCCUCAUUUAGUUCUUUUAACUUCAGUUGUUUAUGACAGUAUCCAGGAAGUUGUUGGUUCGAUUUUCUUCUUGUUGUGUUGUUACUAGUAGCUAAUAUAGUUUCUUCUUUCGCGGGAUUAUAAAGUAACUUUUGGUUGCAAAUUUUUGAUUAUCUUGGAAGAUCUUCGGACAUCGAUUCUUCUUCACCUGUUGAAUAUCUAAGCUGCAGAUCGAGGUGGUGAAUCCAGACCUACGGCUGGAGUAUUAAAUCUGAAACAAGUGUAUUUUUGUUCAUAAUGUAAUUUUUUUCUAUAUUUUUGUUCCAGUCGGACAACUAAUUGAAGAUCUUGGUGGACAAAAAAUAGUUGUUAAACAGUGCACCGAAAUAUUGAUUAUUUCAUUGUUAAACCGAAACCGUACCGAAACC